ensembl:lncRNA
GGAGCACCGGGUCUGCUGGGGUGAUGGGGUCUGAUUGCGGACAGGUGUCUGCAAUCUGACCCAAUCAGGAAGUGUGUAUUUAUGUGCCUGCUUGUCUUUCAGUGAGGGUGGAGAGAGAGAGAGAGAGAAGGAAGACGCUCUCUGCGAGCCAGAGAGAGCGUCAUAAGACCAGGAGACGGACGGAAUGAACAUUGAACGUUGUCCUUUUGUUUGUGUGACUUUGUGUUUGUUUAACCCGAAGGGGAAAUAAACGGGAGUUCGCUCCUUUUCACCAAAGAACUGUGUCCUGACUCCGGUGAACCCGUUACAGGGACCUUGGCUGACAACUUUGCUUUCAGACCUGCUUGUGGAAAUACUACUGACUCCCCCCUCGAACUUGACCGCACACAUUGCGCCCUCGUGGCCAAACCACUUCCCUUCCGGGAUGGAAGCCUCGGGUUGUGGAGGAAGACGCUUCCGACGCUACCAAGUGCGGGAAUUGGUAGCUUGAGGGGCCGCAAACAGAGAGGUAAACUACAGCACAAGAGAGAAAACCGGUACUGAUCUGCGAAGAUUAGUCCUGGAGUCCUGGAGCAGCGGUAGCACAUAUCGAGAAGUCAUGGCUGAGCAGUACAACUUGGGUCUGAAGCCAUCGUUGCUCUUCCAGACAAGGCUAACGAUUGUCGCCCGAAGAAUCUCGGGACUUUGCCGCAGCCCAACAGCAGUAACCUGUGGCCCGAUCGGGAGCGCCGAGAACCAGAGGGUGCGGACUAAAGACACAAACAACUCGUCUGGUAACCCUGGGCUGGAGGAGGAUAAGGAGGACCUGUGUGUAGGGCGGCAGGUUGAUGAC